AGAGUUUGAUCCUGGCUCAGAUUGAACGCUGGCGGCAGGCUUAACACAUGCAAGUCGAACGGUAACAGAACUAGCUUGCUAGUUGCUGACGAGUGGCGGACGGGUGAGUAACGCGUAGGAAUCUACCGAAUAGUGGGGGACAACAGUUGGAAACGGCUGCUAAUACCGCAUACGCCCUACGGGGGAAAGGAGGGGAUCUUCGGACCUUUCGCUAUUUGAUGAGCCUGCGUGAGAUUAGUUAGUUGGUGGGGUAAUGGCUCACCAAGGCGACGAUCUCUAGCUGGUCUGAGAGGAUGAUCAGCCACACUGGGACUGAGACACGGCCCAGACUCCUACGGGAGNCAGCAGUGGGGAAUAUUGCACAAUGGGGGAAACCCUGAUGCAGCCAUGCCGCGUGUGUGAAGAAGGCCUUCGGGUUGUAAAGCACUUUCAGU
rnacentral:rRNA from 1 species